rnacentral:lncRNA from 10 species
AUUAUGCUGGUCUCCAUGGCGGGGCCUCGGAGCCAAGACGAGAGAAAAUGCUGCUGUGAAGACCCAAUUAAAGCUUUCACAUAAAUGAAGCUACAGCUAUCAUGAUUUAGUGCCCCCAAAAGGAAGAACUUCAGUGGACAAGAAAGGACAUUUCUGGGGGUAGUAGAAUGCUUGAGGCCUGGAAUUUAAACCUGAGCCACUAUCUGAAGAAGUUUUAUCAUUUGAUAGUCUGUGAUCCAUUUCAAGUUGAUUUGCUAUCUGGUGUGAGCUAUUAAAUAAUAGAAGAAAAUGGAAUUGAAUAUGAUGUCAGCAUGGAACAAUCUAAUGAUUCAUUAAGAGUCAACCAUAAUGACGGUGAAGAGUCAAAAACCAGUGCUCAAGUAUUUGAGCAUCUAAUCUGUAUGGACUCCAGGGAUUCUUCCUUUGGACAAAAUGAUUCUCCUACAGUUUUGCCCAUCACUACUCGUGAAGCAAAUAAUUCACUCAUAUCACAGAAUAUACCAGGGCCCCUGACUCAGACACAGACUCUUUCUGCAGAGCAAUUCCAUCUAGUGGACCAAAAUGGGCAGGCUAUUCAAUAUGAACUUCAGUCAUUGG